rnacentral:rRNA from 1 species
GAUGAACGCUGGCGGCGUGCCUAAUACAUGCAAGUCGAGCGAACGGACGAGAAGCUUGCUUCUCUGAUGUUAGCGGCGGACGGGCGGGUAACACGUGGAUCACCUACCUAUAUGACUGGGAUAACUUCGGGAAACCGGAGCUAAUACCGGAUGAUAUUUUGAACCGCAUGGUUCAAAAGUGAAACACGGUCUUGCUGUCACUUAUAGAUGGAUCCGCGUUGCAUUAGCUAGUUGGUAAGGUAACGGCUUACCAAGGCAACGAUGCAUAGCCGACCUGAGAGGGUGAUCGGCCACACUGGAACUGAGACACGGUCCAGACUCCUACGGGAGGCAGCAGUAGGGAAUCUUCCGCAAUGGGCGAAAGCCUGACGGAGCAACGCCGCGUGAGUGAUGAAGGUCUUCGGAUCGUAAAGCUCUGUUAUUAGGGAAGAACAUAUGUGUAAGUAACUGUGCACAUCUUGACGGUACCUAAUCAGAAAGCCACGGCUAACUACGUG